rnacentral:rRNA from 1 species
AGUGAACGCUGGCGGUAGGCCUAACACAUGCAAGUCGAACGGCAGCACAGUAAGAGCUUGCUCUUACGGGUGGCGAGUGGCGGACGGGUGAGGAAUACAUCGGAAUCUACUUUUUCGUGGGGGAUAACGUAGGGAAACUUACGCUAAUACCGCAUACGACCUACGGGUGAAAGCAGGGGAUCUUCGGACCUUGCGCGAUUGAAUGAGCCGAUGUCGGAUUAGCUAGUUGGCGGGGUAAAGGCCCACCAAGGCGACGAUCCGUAGCUGGUCUGAGAGGAUGAUCAGCCACACUGGAACUGAGACACGGUCCAGACUCCUACGGGAGGCAGCAGUGGGGGAUAUUGGACAAUGGGCGCAAGCCUGAUCCAGCCAUACCGCGUGGGUGAAGAAGGCCUUCGGGUUGUAAAGCCCUUUUGUUGGGAAAGAAAAGAAGCAGGUUAAUACCCCGCUGUUCUGACGGUACCCAAAGAAUAAGCACCGGCUAACUUCGUG